rnacentral:rRNA from 1 species
UAGGGAAUUUUCCGCAAUGGGCGAAAGCCUGACGGAGCAAUACCGCGUGAGGGAUGACGGCCUGUGGGUUGUAAACCUCUUUUCUCAAGGAAGAAGUUCUGACGGUACUUGAGGAAUAAGCAUCGGCUAACUCUGUGCCAGCAGCCGCGGUAAUACAGAGGAUGCAAGCGUUAUCCGGAAUCACUGGGCAUAAAGCGUCUGUAGGUGGUUUGGUAAGUCUGCUGUUAAAGACUGGGGCUCAACCCCAGAAAAGCAGUGGAAACUGCCAGACUUGAGUGUGGUAGAGGUAAAGGGAAUUCCUAGUGUAGCGGUGAAAUGCGUAGAUAUUAGGAAGAACACCAAUGGCGAAGGCACUUUACUGGGCCAUAACUGACACUGAGAGACGACAGCUAGGGGAGCAAAUGGG